rnacentral:rRNA from 1 species
UUUAUAGCUUGCUAUAAAGAAUAAUUAGUGGCAGACGGGUGAGUAAUGCAUAGGAAUCUACCUAGUAGUAUGGGAUAGCCACUAGAAAUGGUGGGUAAUACUGUAUAAUCCCUGCGGGGGAAAGAUUUAUCGCUAUUAGAUGAGCCUAUGUUAGAUUAGCUAGUUGGUAGGGUAAAGGCCUACCAAGGCGAUGAUCUAUAGCUGGUCUGAGAGGAUGAUCAGCCACACUGGAACUGAGAUACGGUCCAGACUCCUACGGGAGGCAGCAGUGGGGAAUAUUGGACAAUGGGCGCAAGCCUGAUCCAGCUAUGCCGCGUGAGUGAGGAAGGCCUUAGGGUUGUAAAACUCUUUCAGUAGGGAAGAUAAUGACGGUACCUACAGAAGAAGUCCCGGCAAACUCCGUGCCAGCAGCCGCGGUAAUACGGAGGGGGCAAGCGUUGUUCGGAAUUAUUGGGCGUAAAGGGCAUGUAGGCGGUUCGGUAAGUUAAAGGUGAAAUGCCAGGGCUUAACCCUGGAGCUGCUUUA